rnacentral:rRNA from 1 species
GACGAACGCUGGCGGCGUGCUUAACACAUGCAAGUCGAACGGAAAGGCCCCUUCGGGGGUACUCGAGUGGCGAACGGGUGAGUGACACGUGGGUGAUCUGCCCCAAACUCUGGGAUAAGCCUGGGAAACUGGGUCUAAUACUGGAUAUGACCUUCUGCUUCAUGGUGGUUGGUGGAAAGCUUUUGCGGUUUGGGAUGGGCCCGCGGCCUAUCAGCUUGUUGGUGGGGUAAUGGCCUACCAAGGCGACGACGGGUAGCCGACCUGAGAGGGUGAUCGGCCACACUGGGACUGAGACACGGCCCAGACUCCUACGGGAGGCAGCAGUGGGGAAUAUUGCACAAUGGGCGCAAGCCUGAUGCAGCGACGCCGCGUGAGGGAUGACGGCCUUCGGGUUGUAAACCUCUUUCGGCAGGGACGAAGCGCAAGUGACGGUACCUGCAGAAGAAGCACCGGCCAACUACGUGCCAGCCGCCGCCGUAAGAC